rnacentral:lncRNA from 1 species
GAACGACAAAGGCUUCUUGUGUCGAUUCCCACAGACGGCGCCAAACUGUUGAUGCUCAAAAUGGUUAGGCCAAGAUUGAGUCCAACUUAGUGAUGAGGUGUGAUAGAUGAUGGAUGAAGGUGAGGACCUUCACCAAGUGUGUGAGGAUUUAGGCAAACGAUAAACAUAUAAAAGACAAGAUGUACGUGGUUCACCCGAAUGAUGGGCUACGUCCACGGAGAAGGGUGUUCUCAUUAUGAUAAUGUUUGUUUACAUUUGUACAAGGGGAUUAGACCCAAAUAUAAAGAUAACAAGUGAGAAGCCCAGGCCAGAGAUGGAUCCAGAAGAGAGAGUCCCCAAGAGCCAGUCCCCU